AUGUGGUGGCCUUACCACCACAUGAUUAGCACAACAACAAGCACAUAUGAGAUCAAACAAAGCAAGCAACCAAAUGAAAUCAAACAAAGCAAGCAUCUUGGUGCAUUUGCUUUUGGGCAAAUGUCUCUGAUCAGUGCCAUUUUGCAAAGAGUUUGUGCACUAAUACUUGUCAUCUUAUCUAACAAAAUAUUGAAGACUGACUGGAAUGUGGUCGGUGGAGGAGCUCAGGUGGUGGCCGGAGCUGAGGGCGCCGAGGAUUUCAUCCCCAUGAACAGGUGGCUCAGGAUGGUGGACCUGCCUGGCAGGAUCGCCUUCAUGAGCCUGCCUCGUUCAAGGGGACGAUCUCCGAGGCAGGGCCACGAGGAGGGGGCCCGGGAGCCGCUGCGCUUCUACCAGCAGAUCAAAGACAACGAGGACCUCACCAUGCUCGUCGUCCCUCACAAGUUCGUGGAGGUGAUGAACACCUAG
rnacentral:rRNA from 1 species